GUUGUAUGGUUAAGUGACUAAGCGUACACGGUGGAUGCCUUGGCAGUCAGAGGCGAUGAAAGACGUAGUAACUUGCGAUAAGCCCAGAUUAGGUAGUAACAACCAUUUGAGUCUGGGAUUUCUGAAUGGGGAAACCCACGUGCAUAAGCACGUAUCCUUACCUGAAUACAUAGGGUAAGGAGGCGAACCGGGGGAACUGAAACAUCUAAGUACCCCGAGGAAAAGAAAUCAACCGAGAUUCCGAAAGUAGCGGCGAGCGAAAUUGGACUAGCCCUUAAGCUUUACACGCGUUAGACGAACGGUCUGGAAAGUCCGACGAUACAGGGUGAUAGUCCCGUAGUUGACGACGUGUGUUCAGUGAAAUCGAGUAGGGCGGGACACGUGAUAUCCUGUCUGAAUAUGGGGGGGACCAUCCUCCAAGGCUAAAUACUACUGACUGACCGAUAGUGAACCAGUACCGUGAGGGAAAGGCGAAAAGAACCCCUGUGAGGGGAGUGAAAUAGAACCUGAAACCGUGUACGUACAAGCAGUAGGAGCAGGCUUUGUCCUGUGACUGCGUACCUUUUGUAUAAUGGGUCAGCGACUUAUAUUCAGUGGCAAGGUUAACCAUCUAGGGGAGCCGUAGGGAAACCGAGUCUUAACUGGGCGUUCAGUCUCUGGAUAUAGACCCGAAACCAGGUGAUCUAGCCAUGGGCAGGUUGAAGGUUGAGUAACAUCAACUGGAGGACCGAACCGACUAAUGUUGAAAAAUUAGCGGAUGACUUGUGGCUAGGGGUGAAAGGCCAAUCAAACCUGGAGAUAGCUGGUUCUCCCCGAAAGCUAUUUAGGUAGCGCCUCGGACGAAUACUACUGGGGGUAGAGCACUGUUAAGGCUAGGGGGUCAUCCCGACUUACCAACCCUUUGCAAACUCCGAAUACCAGUAAGUACUAUCCGGGAGACACACGGCGGGUGCUAACGUCCGUCGUGGAGAGGGAAACAACCCAGACCGCCAGCUAAGGUCCCAAAUUACUACUAAGUGGGAAACGAUGUGGGAAGGCUCAGACAGCCAGGAUGUUGGCUUAGAAGCAGCCAUCAUU
rnacentral:rRNA from 1 species